rnacentral:rRNA from 1 species
AAUGAACGUUGGCGGCGUGGAUUAGGCAUGCAAGUCGAGCGAGAAACUAAUUAGCUUGCUAAGAGGUGGACAGCGGCGUAAGGGAGAGUAACGCGUGGUUACGUGCCCUCGGGACCGGGAUAGUGUUGGGAAACUGGCAGUAAUACCGGAUAACAUCUUUGGAUCAAAUGGUGUGAUUCCGCCCGAGGAUCGGACCGCGUACUAUUAGCUUGUUGGCGGGGUAACGGCCCACCAAGGCUUCGAUGGUUACCGGGUGUGAGAGCAUGGCCCGGCUCACUGGGACUGAGACACUGCCCAGACAUCUACGGAUGGCUGCAGUCGAGAAUCUUCGGCAAUGGACGAAAGUCUGACCGAGCGACGCCGCGUGCGGGAUGAAGGCCCUCGGGUUGUAAACCGCUGUCAGUUGGGAGGAAAUUCAUGAGGGUUAUCCCUCAUGAUUGACCGAGCUUCAGAGGAAGGACGGGCUAAGUUCG